CUGAGCCAGACCCCUAAGGUGGUGGGUUCCCUCUUUAAGUCACCCCUGGUAAGGUAACUCGGAAAUCAGAGCUCCCCCCUUUGUGGGGGACAGCACCUUGGUACCACUUCUAGUAGAGAGAGGAGGGUGCGGCGUGGGUAGGAAGUAAUGCAGAAAGUUUUCAGGUCUCCCGUUCAGAACUGGGGAAAAGGGAAACACAGUGGCUCGCUGUUUCUCCUUCUUCAUUGGAAAGGAAGCUCUGGCAAGCUGGAAGACCAAGUGGGAACAGGGACCUCCUCCAUCGCAGUCCAAAGGAGUGCCUGGAUCACGCUUGUCUGGACGUUGAAGCCCGCUGGAGCACUAGGAGAGCCAUGGUGAGCCAGCAGGAGGGGACUGCGCAAGUUGCUGAAAGAGAUUCGUUAAAACCUUGACCAUGGUUACAAAUUUGCCCACUUGUCUCUUUUGUUCUGUCAACUUUCUGCUUCAUGCAGCCCUGUUAUUAGAUGUCCCCGAUUCGAUCGGUGGAAGCCACUUCAAGACAGCUUCUUGGGGUCUUUGGGAGGCGAUUAGGUUCAGAUGAAGUCCUGAGGAUGUAGCCCUCAUGAUGGGAUUAAUAAGUGUAUAAAGAAGAAGAAAUACCAGCGCUCCCUCUCUCCACCAUGUGAGGACACAGCAAGAAGGUGGCCAUGUGCAAGCUAAAGAGACUUUCAACUAGGAACUGAAUCGCCAGUGCCUUGAUCUUGGAUUUCCCAGCCUCCGGAAGCAUGAGAAAUAAAUGUCUGUUGUUUAAUCCA